rnacentral:rRNA from 1 species
UAGUACCCCCAUGACACCCAGAACACACACCACCUCAUCUGAUUUCAGGAGCUAAGCAGGGUUGAGCCUGCUUGGUUCUUGGACGGGAGACUAC